rnacentral:rRNA from 1 species
UACGGAGGGUGCGAGCGUUAAUCGGAAUUACUGGGCGUAAAGCGCACGCAGGCGGUUUGUUAAGCUAGAUGUGAAGACCCCGGGCUCAACCUGGGAUGGUCAUUUAGAACUGGCAGACUAGAGUUCUUGGAGAGGGGAGUGGAAGUUCCAGGUGUAGCGGUGAAAUGCGUAGAUAUCUGGAGGAACAUCAGUGGCGAAGGCCGACUCCCUGGCCAAAGACUGACGCUCAUGGUGCGAAAAAGU